GUAGCUAAAUGCGGAAGAGAUAAGUGCUGAAAGCAACUAAGCACGAAACUUGGCCCGAGAUGAGUUCUCCCUGACUCCUUGAGAGUCCUGAAGGAACGUUGAAGACGACGACGUUGAUAGGCCGGGUGUGUAAGCGCAGCGAUGCGUUGAGCUAACCGGUACUAAUGAACCGUGAGGCUUAACCUU
rnacentral:rRNA from 1 species